GAUGAACGCUGGCGGCGUGCCUAAUACAUGCAAGUCGAGCGAACGGACGAGAAGCUUGCUUCUCUGAUGUUAGCGGCGGACGGGUGAGUAACACGUGGAUAACCUACCUAUAAGACUGGGAUAACUUCGGGAAACCGGAGCUAAUACCGGAUGAUAUUUUGAACCGCAUGGUUCAAAAGUGAAAGACGGUCUUGCUGUCACUUAUAGAUGGAUCCGCGCUGCAUUAGCUAGUUGGUAAGGUAACGGCUUACCAAGGCAACGAUGCAUAGCCGACCUGAGAGGGUGAUCGGCCACACUGGAACUGAGACACGGUCCAGACUCCUACGGGAGGCAGCAGUAGGGAAUCUACCGCAAUGGGCGAAAGCCUGACGGAGCAACGCCGCGUGAGUGAUGAAGGUCUUCGGAUCGUAAAACUCUGUUAUUAGGGAAGAACAUAUGUGUAAGUAACUGUGCACAUCUUGAAGGUAACUAAUCAGAAAGCCACGGCUAACUACGUG
rnacentral:rRNA from 1 species